rnacentral:rRNA from 1 species
CCUGCGGAAGGAUCAUUACCGAGUGAGGGCCCUCUGGGUCCAACCUCCCACCCGUGUUUAUUUUACCUUGUUGCUUCGGCGGGCCCGCCUUAACUGGCCGCCGGGGGGCUUACGCCCCCGGGCCCGCGCCCGCCGAAGACACCCUCGAACUCUGUCUGAAGAUUGUAGUCUGAGUGAAAAUAUAAAUUAUUUAAAACUUUCAACAACGGAUCUCUUGGUUCCGGCAUCGAUGAAGAACGCAGCGAAAUGCGAUACGUAAUGUGAAUUGCAAAUUCAGUGAAUCAUCGAGUCUUUGAACGCACAUUGCGCCCCCUGGUAUUCCGGGGGGCAUGCCUGUCCGAGCGUCAUUGCUGCCCUCAAGCACGGCUUGUGUGUUGGGCCCCGUCCUCCGAUCCCGGGGGACGGGCCCGAAAGGCAGCGGCGGCACCGCGUCCGGUCCUCGAGCGUAUGGGGCUUUGUCACCCGCUCUGUAGGCCCGGCCGGCGCUUGCCGAUCAACCCAAAUUUUUAUCCAGGUUGACCUCGGAUCAGGUAGGGAUACCCGC